GUGCUCGCUUCUGCAACACACACACUAAAUCUGGAACGAUACAGAGAAGACUAGGAGGGCUCUGCACAAGGAUGACACGCAGAUUCAUGAAACGUUCCGUGUAUUU
ensembl:snRNA U6 U6 spliceosomal RNA